GAUGAACGCUAGCGGGAGGCCUAACACAUGCAAGCCGAGCGGUAUUGUUUCUUCGGAAAUGAGAGAGCGGCGUACGGGUGCGGAACACGUGUGCAACCUGCCUUUAUCUGGGGGAUAGCCUUUCGAAAGGAAGAUUAAUACUCCAUAACAUAUUGAUUGGCAUCAAUUAAUAUUGAAAGCUCCGGCGGAUAGAGAUGGGCACGCGCAAGAUUAGCUAGUUGGUGAGGUAACGGCUCACCAAGGCGAUGAUCUUUAGGGGGCCUGAGAGGGUGAUCCCCCACACUGGUACUGAGACACGGACCAGACUCCUACGGGAGGCAGCAGUGAGGAAUAUUGGUCAAUGGGUGCAAGCCUGAACCAGCCAUCCCGCGUGAAGGACGACUGCCCUAUGGGUUGUAAACUUCUUUUGUAUAGGGAUAAACCUACCCUCGUGAGGGUAGCUGAAGGUACUAUACGAAUAAGCACCGGCUAACUCCGUGCCAGCAGCCGCGGUAACACGGAGGGUGCAAGCGUUAUCCGGAUUUAUUGGGUUUAAAGGGUCCGUAGGCGGACUUAUAAGUCAGUGGUGAAAGCCUGUCGCUUAACGAUAGAACUGCCAUUGAUACUGUAAGUCUUGAGUUUAUUUGAGGUAGCUGGAAUAAGUAGUGUAGCGGUGAAAUGCAUAGAUAUUACUUAGAACACCAAUUGCGAAGGCAGGUUACCAAGAUAUAACUGACGCUGAGGGACGAAAGCGUGGGGAGCGAACAGGAUUAGAUACCCUGGUAGUCCACGCCGUAAACGAUGCUAACUCGUUUUUGGGCUUUAGGGUUCAGAGACCAAGCGAAAGUGAUAAGUUAGCCACCUGGGGAGUACGCUCGCAAGAGUGAAACUCAAAGGAAUUGACGGGGGCCCGCACAAGCGGUGGAUUAUGUGGUUUAAUUCGAUGAUACGCGAGGAACCUUACCAAGACUUAAAUGGGAAUUGACAGCUUUAGAAAUAGAGCUUUCUUCGGACAAUUUUCAAGGUGCUGCAUGGUUGUCGUCAGCUCGUGCCGUGAGGUGUUAGGUUAAGUCCUGCAACGAGCGCAACCCCUGUCACUAGUUGCCAUCAUUCAGUUGGGGACUCUAGUGAGACUGCCUACGCAAGUAGAGAGGAAGGUGGGGAUGACGUCAAAUCAUCACGGCCCUUACGUCUUGGGCCACACACGUAAUACAAUGGCCGGUACAGAGGGCAGCUACACAGCGAUGUGAUGCAAAUCUCGAAAGCCGGUCUCAGUUCGGAUUGGAGUCUGCAACUCGACUCUAUGAAGCUGGAAUCGCUAGUAAUCGCGCAUCAGCCAUGGCGCGGUGAAUACGUUCCCGGGCC
rnacentral:rRNA from 1 species